UAGGUGUCAAGUAGUUUUCUAAAGUGUUAAGUUUAUGAGAUUUGUUUUACUUCAUCUUCUCACUAAAACUUGAAAUUAUCUGUUUUUUCUUUCCUAUUUUUGUUUCACUCAUAAAGCUCUUUGAUCUAUUGUAUAGCUUUGGGACAUAAGUUGCUUUUCUUAGGUAACAUCAAACAUGUUUUAAAGUUAUUCAUUGUCUAUUUAGUUAGCUUACUUUUAGAGUGACUGUCUACACCUGUGUUUAUUUUCCUUUUUGGUUGUCUAAUUGUUUAGAUUUUUUAAAAUUAUUAUUAUACUUUAAGUUCUAGGGUACAUGUGCACAACGUGCAGGUUUGUUAAAUAUGCAUAUACAUGUGCCAUGUUGGUGUGCUGCACCCAUUAACUCGUCAUUUGCAUUAGGGACAUGGAUGAAGCUGGAAACUAUCAUUCUAAUUUUUUUGAUUCUUAAAUUAUUUUUAAUCUUCUGAGUAUAACAUUAUUGACUUUUUGUAUCCUGUGUAAUAAAUAUUUGCUUACACCAAUAUCAUAAAAUAUUUUUCUUUUUUUCUUUUUUUUUCUAAAUGCUCACUUGUUUAACCUUUCAGAUUUAGGACUGUAAUACAUAAAGGAAAUUUUUUGUAUAUGUUGUCAAUAAUAUACUAAAACCAUUUUUUCCUA
rnacentral:lncRNA from 1 species